rnacentral:rRNA from 1 species
AUUGAACGCUGGCGGCAGGCCUAACACAUGCAAGUCGAGCGAGCGGCGGACGGGUGAGUAAUGUAUGGGGACUGCCCGAUAGAGGGGGAUAACUACUGGAAACGGUGGCUAAUACCGCAUACUAUCGGAUAACCCAUAUGGGAUUAGCUAGUAGGUGGGGUAAAGGCUCACCUAGGCGACGAUCUCUAGCUGGUCUGAGUGGAUGAUCAGCCACACUGGGACUGAGACACGGCCCAGACUCCUACGGAGGCAGCAGUGGGGAAUAUUGAACGAUGGGAGCAAGCCUGAUGCAGCCAUGCCGAGUGUAUGUAGAAGGACUUAGGGUUGUAAAGUAAUUUAAGCGGGGAGGCGUUACCAGCAGAAGAAGCACCGGCAAACUCCGUGCCAGCAGCAGCGUAAUAC